UACGUAGGGGGCAAGCGUUGUCCGGAUUUAUUGGGCGUAAAGAGCGUGUAGGCGGCCAAGCAGGUCCGCUGUGAAAACUCGAGGCUCAACCUCGAGACGUCGGUGGAAACCGUUUGGCUAGAGUCCGGAAGAGGAGAGUGGAAUUCCCGGUGUAGCGGUGAAAUGCGCAGAUAUCGGGAAGAACACCCGUGGCGAAGGCGGCUCACUGGCUCAUUACUGACGCUCAGGCGCGACAGCGUGGGGAUCAAACAGG
rnacentral:rRNA from 1 species